GACGAACGCUGGCGGCGUGCUUAACACAUGCAAGUCGUACGGUAAGGCCCUUUCGGGGGUACACGAGUGGCGAACGGGUGAGUAACACGUGAGUAACCUGCCCACAACUUUGGGAUAACGCUAGGAAACUGGUGCUAAUACUGGAUAUGUGCUCCUGCUGCAUGGUGGGGGUUGGAAAGCUCCGGCGGUUGUGGAUGGACUCGCGGCCUAUCAGCUUGUUGGUGGGGUAGUGGCCUACCAAGGCGGCGACGGGUAGCCGGCCUGAGAGGGUGACCGGCCACAUUGGGACUGAGAUACGGCCCAGACUCCCACGGGAGGCAGCAGUGGGGAAUAUUGCACAAUGGGCGCAAGCCUGAUGCAGCAACGCCGCGUGCGGGAUGACGGCCUUCGGGUUGUAAACCGCUUUCAGCAGGGACGAAGCUUUUUGUGACGGUACCUGCAGAAGAAGCAUCGGCUAACUACGUG
rnacentral:rRNA from 1 species